rnacentral:rRNA from 1 species
UACGUAGGAGACGAGCGUUGUCCGGAGUUACUGGGCGUAAAGGGUGCGCAGGCGGCCUGGCGCGUCGCGAGUGAAAUCUCCUGGCUCAACUGGGAGGGUGGUCGCGAGACGGCUGGGCUUGAGGCUCGGUGAGGGGCGUGGAAUUCCGGGUGGAGCGGUGAAAUGCGUAGAUAUCCGGAGGAAUACCAAAGGCGAAGGCAGUGUCCUGGGGAGUGUCUGACGCUCAGGCGCGAAAGCUAGGGGAGCGAACAGG